rnacentral:rRNA from 1 species
AGAGUUUGAUCCUGGCUCAGAUUGAACGCUGAGGCUUAACACAUGCAAGUCGAACGGCAGCGGACCUUCGGGUGCCGGCGAGUGGCGAACGGGUGAGUAAAGUAUCGGAACGUACCUUUCAGUGGGGGAUAACGUAGCGAAAGUUACGCUAAUACCGCAUAUUCUGUGAGCAGGAAAGCAGGGGAUCGCAAGACCUUGCGCUGAUUGAGCGGCCGAUAUCAGAUUAGCUAGUUGGUGGGGUAAAGGCCUACCAAGGCGACGAUCUGUAGCGGGUCUGAGAGGAUGAUCCGCCACACUGGGACUGAGACACGGCCCAGACUCCUACGGGAGGCAGCAGUGGGGAAUUUUGGACAAUGGGCGCAAGCCUGAUCCAGCCAUGCCGCGUGAGUGAAGAAGGCCUUCGGGUUGUAAAGCUCUUUCGGCCGGGAAGAAAUCGCAUGGGCUAAUACCCUGUGUGGAUGACGGUACCGGAAUAAGAAGCACCGGCUAACUACGUGCCAGCAGCCGCGGUAAUACGUAGGGUGCGAGCGUUAAUCGGAAUUACUGGGCGUAAAGCGUGCGCAGGCGGUUUUUUAAGAUAGGCGUGAAAUCCCCGGGCUCAACCUGGGAACUGCGCUUAUGACUGGAAGACUAGAGUAUGGCAGAGGGGGGUGGAAUUCCACGUGUAGCAGUGAAAUGCGUAGAGAUGUGGAGGAACACCGAUGGCGAAGGCAGCCCCCUGGGCCAAUACUGACGCUCAUGCACGAAAGCGUGGGGGAGCAAACAGGAUUAGAUACCCUGGUAGUCCACGCCCUAAACGAUGUCAACUAGGUGUUGGGUGGGUAAAACCAUUUAGUACCGUAGCUAACGCGUGAAGUUGACCGCCUGGGGAGUACGGCCGCAAGGUUAAAACUCAAAGGAAUUGACGGGGACCCGCACAAGCGGUGGAUGAUGUGGAUUAAUUCGAUGCACGCGAAAA